rnacentral:rRNA from 1 species
UACGUAGGGUGCGAGCGUUGUCCGGAAUUAUUGGGCGUAAAGAGCUCGUAGGCGGUGUGUCACGUCGUUCGUGAAAACCUGCAGCUUAACUGUGGGCGUGCGGUCGAUACGGGCAUCACUGGAGUUCGGCAGGGGAGACUGGAAUUCCUGGUGUAGAGGUGAAAUUCGUAGAUAUCGGGAGGAACACCGGUGGCGAAGGCGGCGACCUGGGUAGAUACUGACGCUGAGGCGGCGAAAGCGUGGGGAGCAAACCGG